rnacentral:miRNA from 1 species
GUCACAGGCUCACCCUAUUCAUACACAAAUAUGCCCUUAAGCUGUCUCAAGGGCAUAUUUGUGUAUGAAUAGGGUGAGCCUGUGAC